CCUUGGGAUGCCAUUUAGAGUAUUUUGUCAAACUGGGCAUUUGGAGCCUGUCCCAAGAGGAUGGAGAGACAGUCAUUCCAAACGUCUCUGCUGGGGACUGCUUUGACAGACUGCCGCCACCACUGUGGGAGAAGACUGACAGUGCUGCUGGGGCCUCCCCCAGCCCCUGGCUCUCCAACCAGCUCCUGGGCUUCCGGGGACCUGGCAAAAUGGGACACAUAGUGUCAUUGUGGCCUCCCCUCCUUGAGGUCCCGUUGGUGUGAGAUACCAAGACAGACCCCGGCAUUGGUCAUUGUUACUACAGGUCCCCAGCUGCAGCCAUUCAGGCUCACAGGCUGAGGGGGAAAAAAAGGAAGAACAAAACUUUUUGAUGGCUUGUCUGGUUCCUGAGAGAGCCUGAUGCCCACCUCUUCCCUGAAAGAAAGAUGCUGUUUCUAACACACAGACUGCGAGUCAAUGAGAAGGAAGACAGAGAAGUGGUGGGAGAGAGGAAGUCCAGCAAGUGUGCUCCUUCCCCCGCCGUCCUGUGGCGGAGAUGGAAGUACCAUUGAAACGCCCAAGGCCAAAAAAGGAAGAAAAGGAGUUGUCAAACCUUUGAGCCCCCACAAAUGCUUUCACAGCCCAGGACACUUCCCCAAACACCUUCCUCAGCCACACCAUCGUUUCAGCAUUCCUCCUACCGAAAUGGCACGCGUCUCUUGGAUAUCUCCUUUUAUUCGAGCAUAUGAAGAAGUUUUUCAGAAAGAGUUAAUGGCACUGCUUCACUGCCAUACAGCACACGGUGUUGAGAUGAUGCAAAUUUCGUCGUCCGCCUGCUUCUCAUUCCUCUGCAGACCAACACCUGGACCACUCGCAGGCUGAGAAUCACAAGUUCAGAAUCUGCUGUUGCCAUUGAAAAUUUCAACAGCUCAUUUCAGUGUGUGACCCUGAUCCUGUCUAUCCUUCAUUAUCGCCACAAGGGGGAUCAUUCUGGGCUACACCAAAUCUGGCGAUGGGCAUACCAUGAAGUCUGGAGGGUUUCAGUGAAGACAUCAGCCCAGGUGAUGGGGUCAAGGUCCACUCUUGGUUUGGCCCCUGUUGCCUGUGUCUUUAGGUACCCCCGUGUCUGCAGGCAAGGAAAAAGGUACAGAUGAGUAAAACUGCUGUCCCCAGGGAAAUGAAAGAAGAGAACAGAAGACUACCGGGGCUUCCAUUUGGCAUGUCAAGAGGCAGUCAUAAACUGCAGACCACAAAUCACAAUCAAAAGAACUUUGUGAAAUUCUGUAAUCUUGUAUCUUACCAGUAUUUAUAUUGUGUUACUCUCUGUUUGUUUUGUAGCAGUAAUUCAAAGCAAAACCCUAUUUUUUUUUUUAAUGUGAUGGGAGGAAACGCAUAAUAUGUGUGUCUUUUGGGAGUAACAAAGAGGGAGAGAAUCGGGAGACCAUUUUUGGAGGGAGAAACCAAAAUCAUAUAGCGCAGAACAGCUCAACCACUUACUGACUGUUUAACCUUGGGAAUGUUUCUUAACCUCUCUUUGUCUCAGUUUCCUCAUCUAUAAAAUGGAAACAAUAACAGGACCUGCUUCAUAAAGGUUAGUAAAAUAACACAUGUAAGAUACACAGGAGAGUGUUUGCAUAUAAUAAGACUUCAAUGAAAAUAAUUGUGGUUGCACUAUCAUCUUUCUUUUUUACGCUGAAAUAGGAAAACAGGCUGAAUUCCUAGGACUUGUGACAAACAGAAAAAGAAAACAGAGGAAGAUUAUUUAGGACUGAUACGGAGCUAUGAGUCUAAGCAAUCAAAAAACUAUUAUGGAUUUACUGAACUGGGAUUUGAAACCCAAGCAUACUCUCAAAAUGAAAAACAAGGUCUCCGUUGAGGCUACUAUAACGGUGCCCAUAUCAUUGGUACCUAUGACAUAUGAAAGACUGUAACUCUACCUUCUUCUAUCUUGACCUCCAGCUGUCAAAAACAAGAGUGUGUUCAAAGAUUGGACAGCCGUUGGAACCCAAUGCAAAACACUCACAAGUCUCCUCAGAACUCUUGGUCUGAGAAAUGGUUACUUUGUCAAUGACCUUAGGCAAGAUUGCUUUGGGGUUUAAGUGAGGUGGAUUUCUGAGUUGCUUUUUCUUGGUGAAGUUUUUCUCUUUUGAUUGUAAUUUGAUUGGUUAUACCAGACGGUAAAUGGAUUGGAAAGCACACUGGCUGCAGAAGUGAGAGAACUGUGAUUGCAGUCUUUGUUUUCCUUAAGUGUCACUCUGAAGACAACAUUCUAUUUCUAGGGAGUUCUCGUCUACGUAAAGAAGAGGUUGGAUUUGGUGAUCAUAAAUGUCCCUACCUCUUUAAAAUUUUAUGGACCUAUAAAGGUAUAAUUAUAAAAUAGUGGGACUGAUUUUCCUGGCCAUCAUUACUCUAUCAUCAAAACUGAUUUAUAUAGCACCCUUCUUUGAAAGUUCUGGGCAUUCUACACAGAGCAAUUGAGAAAACAGAGAGGAA
ensembl:lncRNA